GAUGAAGAACGUAGUGAAAUGCGAUAAGUAAUGUGAAUUGCAGAAUUCAGUGAAUCAUCAAUCUUUGAACGCACAUUGCGCCCCUUGGUAUUCCGGGGGGCAUGCCUGUUCGAGCGUCAUUAUCACCCCUCAAGCUCAGCUUGGUGUUGGGGCCUGCCGUCAAGGCAGCCCUUAAAAUCAGUGGCGGCGCCAUCUGGCUCUAAGCGUAGUAAUACUUCUCGCUACAGUGUCGCGGUGGUGUCUUGCCAGAACCCCUCAUUUUUUAUGAUUGACCUCGGAUCAGGUAGGGAUACCCGCUGAACUUAAGCAUAUCAAUAAGCGGAGGA
rnacentral:misc_RNA from 1 species